rnacentral:lncRNA from 1 species
AACAGACCACCGACUUUAAUGUGUGGUGACUUGCACAUGACAAUGACCUAAUCACCAUACUCAACAAAAUAGGGUCUCUCUUUAUUCUUUUCAGUCUUUGGCCAGCAGCAUUGGCACCUAACAACAACAGUUUUUAAUUGUUAAUAAAAGAUGGCACCCAAAAUUAAAAAAAAGAACAAAAUUAAAGUGAUCGGCUCCACACCUCAUCAUCACCUAUUUCAUUUCCCCUUUGCCUUUAUAAAGAACCCAAAUCCUCAUUUCAUCCUCCCCUUUCUCUCUUCUUCUUCUUCUUCUUCUUCUUCUUCCCUCUUCUGUUUAUUCUUCUUUUUCU